UACGGAAGGCAGCAGUGGGGAAUAUUGCACAAUGGGCGCAAGCCUGAUGCAGCCAUGCCGCGUGUAUGAAAAAGGCCUUCGGGUUGUAAAGUACUUUCAGUCGUGAGGAAGGUGUUAAGGUUAAUAACCUUAGCAAUUGACGUUAGCGACAGAAGAAGCACCGGCUAACUCCGUGCCAGCAGCCGCGGUAAUACGGAGGGUGCGAGCGUUAAUCGGAAUUACUGGGCGUAAAGGGCACGCAGGCGGUUAAUUAAGUUGGAUGUGAAAUCCCCGGGCUUAACCUGGGAAUGGCAUUCAAGACUGGUUAGCUAGAGUCUUGUAGAGGGGGUAGAAUUCCAUGUGUAGCGGUGAAAUGCGUAGAGAUGUGGAGGAAUACCGGUGGCGAAGGCGGCCCCUGGACAAAGACUGACGCUCAUGUGCGAAAGCUGGGGAGCAAAC
rnacentral:rRNA from 1 species